rnacentral:rRNA from 1 species
UACGUAGGGUGCGAGCGUUAAUCGGAAUUACUGGGCGUAAAGCGUGCGCAGGCGGUCUGUUAAGACCGAUGUGAAAUCCCCGGGCUUAACCUGGGAACUGCAUUGGUGACUGGCAGGCUUUGAGUGUGGCAGAGGGAGGUAGAAUUCCACGUGUAGCAGUGAAAUGCGUAGAGAUGUGGAGGAAUACCGAUGGCGAAGGCAGCCUCCUGGGCCAACACUGACGCUCCUGCACGAAAGCGUGGGGAGCAAACAGG